AAUACUUUAAGAUCAAUCUCUCCCUAAUAUCUUCAAUAUUAAACUCUUAAUAAGCUAUUAAAGUA
rnacentral:tRNA from 1 species